AACGCGAAGAACCUUACCUGGGCUUGAACUACUGGUAGUAAGCCUUUGGAAACAGAGACUUCCCGCAAGGGACCGGUGUAGAGGUGCUGCAUGGCUGUCGUCAGCUCGUGCCGUGAGGUGUUGGGUUAAGUCCCGCAACGAGCGCAACCCUUACUCGUAGUUGCCACCCGCAAGGGGGAACUCUACGAGGACUGCUCCGGAUAACGGAGAGGAAGGUGGGGAUGAGGUCAAGUCAGCAUGGCCUUUAUGUCCAGGGCCACACACGUGUUACAAUGCGCGCCACAAAGCGUCGCGAACCCGCGAGGGGGAGCUAAUCGCAAAAAAGCGCGCUCAGUUCGGAUUGCAGUCUGCAACUCGACUGCAUGAAGCUGGAAUCGCUAGUAAUGGCGCAUCAGAACGGCGCCGUGAAUACGUUCCCGGGCCUUGUACACACCGAGUAUA
rnacentral:rRNA from 1 species